rnacentral:rRNA from 1 species
CUGGUUGAUCCUGCCAGUAGUCAUAUGCUUCUUUCAAGGACUAAGCCAUGCAAGUGUAAGAGUAAUGCCUUAAAGCAUAGGUCUGCGAAUGGCUCAUUACAACAGCAACAAUCCUAUUGACUAAGUGUGGCUUCGCCGGGGCUACUCCAUGUGUAUAUCUGGCUCAACCGGCUAGUUAAUACGUGUACGAAAGCACUAUCCUCACAACCCUGUGUGGUCGCAAGGCCUCCAGGGGAGGGUGGUGGCUUGUGGAUGACCUUAAAAGUACUGGUGCCCGAAAGGGCAGUGCAUAUAUGUUGAGUCAGUCCAAUGGGUAGCAAUAGCAGAGCGGCUCCGGCCAGCUGCAAAGUCAUAGGAACUUCUGCCCUAUCAGCUCUUGAUGGUGAGGUAGUGGCUCACCAUGGCAUUGACGGGUAACAGAGAAUUAGGGUUUGAUUCUGGAGAGGGAGCCUGAGAAAUGGCUACCACUGCUAUGGCAGGCAGCAGGCGCGCAAAUUGCCCAAUACCAAUUCAUUGGUGAGGCAGCGACGAAAAAUAGCAUUUCCGACUUCUCAAGGAGUCAGAGUUUGCCAUGGAUAGUAUGUAAACACAGUAAUGAGUAACAACUGGAGGGCAAGUCUGGUGCCAGCAGCCGCGGUAAUUCCAGCUCCAGUAGCGUAUACUAAUAUUGUUGCUGUUAAAAAGCUCGUAGUUCGAUGCAGAGUUGAGGCUGUAGGACAGCUCCUUAAAUCAAAGUUCAAACAUGAUCGUCAAAUAAUCAGGUUCCGAUACUUUAAAGGAGACUCAACUGUUCUGCAGAAUUUGUCCUCAAACUCUAGGCAGUGGUAUGUCUUGGCCAAGGCUCAUUCAUUUGAGUCCGAGGUGGGAGCACACCAAAGUGAGUGUGUGGUUAGAGGCAAAAGUCCUACUAUGUAGGCUUCCUCCUCCCUCAGAGACAUAACCGCGAAAGUCAUUGUGAACAAAUCAGUGUGAUCAAAGCAGCUGGUCCUUCUGGCUGAAUGCUUCAGCAUGAAAUGACAAGGGAUCGACCAACGGGUAUUACCCAAGAGUUCUGCCAGUGCUUUGUGACCCUGUUUGGGCAAUGUGGGGCGUCCUACGAUACUUGAUCAUACGGGUUUUCGGACUCGAUCCUGUAUCUAGGCGAACCAAACGUUAUCAAUGGGAGCUCUCGAGGUGGUGUGUAUUUCUGCGUUAGAGGUGAAAUUCUUAGACCGUAGAAGGACAUACUGCGGCGAAGGCGCUCUUCCAGUCUAGCUCUGUCUAUCAAGAACGAAAGUGUGGGGAGCAAAGAUGAUCAGAUACCGUUGUAGUCCACUACUGUAAACUAUGUCAGUCAGGUUCCGAUUAUG